rnacentral:rRNA from 1 species
GUGGGCAUCUGAUUGCUUAUUGCACCACAUGUGUUUUUCUUUGAAACAAACUUGCUUUGGCGGUGGGCCCAGCCUGCCGCCAGAGGUCUAAACUUACAACCAAUUUUUUAUCAACUUGUCACACCAGAUUAUUACUAAUAGUCAAAACUUUCAACAACGGAUCUCUUGGUUCUCGCAUCGAUGAAGAACGCAGCGAAAUGCGAUACGUAAUAUGAAUUGCAGAUAUUCGUGAAUCAUCGAAUCUUUGAACGCACAUUGCGCCCUCUGGUAUUCCGGAGGGCAUGCCUGUUUGAGCGUCGUUUCUCCCUCAAACCGCUGGGUUUGGUGUUGAGCAAUACGACUUGGGUUUGCUUGAAAGACGGUAGUGGUAAGGCGGGAUCGCUUUGACAAUGGCUUAGGUCUAACCAAAAACAUUGCUUGCGGCGGUAACGUCUACCACGUAUAUCUUCAAACUUUGACCUCAAAUCAGGUAGGACUACCCGCUGAACUUAAGCAUAUCAAAAGCGGAGGAA